GACGAACGCUGGCGGCGUGCCUAAUACAUGCAAGUCGAACGAACCGCGACUAGGUGCUUGCACUUGGUCAAGGUGAGUGGCGAACGGGUGAGUAACACGUGGGUAACCUACCUCAUAGUGGGGGAUAACAGUCGGAAACGACUGCUAAUACCGCAUAGGACAUAGGAUCACAUGAUCCAGUGAGGAAAGGUGGCGCAAGCUAUCGCUAAGAGAUGGACCCGCGGUGCAUUAGCUAGUUGGUAGGGUAAAGGCCUACCAAGGCGAUGAUGCAUAGCCGACCUGAGAGGGUGAUCGGCCACAUUGGGGCUGAGACACGGCCCAAACUCCUACGGGAGGCAGCAGUAGGGAAUCUUCCGCAAUGGACGCAAGUCUGACGGAGCAACGCCGCGUGAGUGAAGAAGGUCUUCGGAUCGUAAAGCUCUGUUGUUAGAGAAGAACAGCGCAUAGAGUAACUGUUAUGCGUGUGACGGUAUCUAACCAGAAAGCCACGGCUAACUACGUG
rnacentral:rRNA from 1 species